GCCUUCUUAGUGUAGUGGUCAGCACGUUCGAAAGGGUAACCGAGAGGUCCGUGGUUCGAGUCUCGGCGAGGGCA
rnacentral:tRNA from 1 species